rnacentral:rRNA from 1 species
GGAAGUAAAAGUCGUAACAAGGUCUCCGUUGGUGAACCAGCGGAGGGAUCAUUACCGAGUUUACAACUCCCAAACCCCAAUGUGAACGUUACCAAUCUGUUGCCUCGGCGGGAUUCUCUUGCCCCGGGCGCGUCGCAGCCCCGGAUCCCAUGGCGCCCGCCGGAGGACCAACUCCAAACUCUUUUUUUCUCUCCGUCGCGGCUCCCGUCGCGGCUCUGUUUUAUUUUUGCUCUGAGCCUUUCUCGGCGACCCUAGCGGGCGUCUCGAAAAUGAAUCAAAACUUUCAACAACGGAUCUCUUGGUUCUGGCAUCGAUGAAGAACGCAGCGAAAUGCGAUAAGUAAUGUGAAUUGCAGAAUUCAGUGAAUCAUCGAAUCUUUGAACGCACAUUGCGCCCGCCAGUAUUCUGGCGGGCAUGCCUGUCCGAGCGUCAUUUCAACCCUCGAACCCCUCCGGGGGGUCGGCGUUGGGGAUCGGCCCCUCACCGGGCCGCCCCCGAAAUACAGUGGCGGUCUCGCCGCAGCCUCUCCUGCGCAGUAGUUUGCACACUCGCACCGGGAGCGCGGCGCGGCCACAGCCGUAAAACACCCCAAACUUCUGAAAUGUUGACCUCGGAUCAGGUAGGAAUACCCGCUGAACUAAGCAUAUCAAUAAGCGGAGGA